GACGAGGUGGCCGAGUGGUUAUGGCGAUGGAUUGCUAUUCCAUUGUGCUCUGCACGCGUGGGUUCGAAUCCCAUCCUCGUCG
rnacentral:tRNA from 1 species